UACAGAGGUCCCGAGCGUUGUUCGGAUUCACUGGGCGUAAAGGGGGCGUAGGUGGUUAGGUAAGUCCGAUGUGAAAUCUCCAGGCUCAACCUGGAAAUGGCAUUGGAUACUAUUUAGCUUGAGGAGUGGAGGGGGGACUGGAAUUCUCGGUGUAGCGGUGAAAUGCGCAGAUAUCAGGAGGAACACCGGUGGCGAAGGCGGGUCUCUGGGCCGUAACUGACGCUGAGGAGCGAAAGCGUGGGGAGCGAACAGG
rnacentral:rRNA from 1 species